AUCCACAUGACGAGUCCUAAAUGGGACGGAAUGUGCAUCUUGGAU
rnacentral:hammerhead_ribozyme from 1 species